ACGGAAGGCAGCAGUGGGGAAUAUUGGGCAAUGGGCGCAAGCCUGACCCAGCAACGCCGCGUGAAGGAAGAAGGCCCUCGGGUUGUAAACUUCUUUUGACAGGGACGAAGAAAAUGACGGUACCUGUCGAAUAAGCCACGGCUAACUACGUGCCUGCAGCCGCGGUAAUACGUAGGUGGCAAGCGUUAUCCGGAUUUACUGGGUGUAAAGGGCGUGUAGGCGGGCUGGCAAGUCAGAUGUGAAAACCAUGGGCUCAACCCAUGGCCUGCAUUUGAAACUGUUGGUCUUGAGUGCCGGAGAGGCAAUCGGAAUCCCGUGUGUAGCGGUGAAAUGCGUAGAUAUACGGAGGAACACCAGUGGCGAAGGCGGAUUGCUGGACAGUAACUGACGCUGAGGCUCGAAAGUAUGGGUAGCAAACAGGAUUAGAUACCCUGGUA
rnacentral:rRNA from 1 species